rnacentral:rRNA from 1 species
GGGUUGUGAGGUUAAGCGACUAAGCGUACACGGUGGAUGCCCUGGCAGUCAGAGGCGAUGAAGGGCGUGCUAAUCUGCGAUAAGCGCCGGUAAGGUGAUAUGAACCGUUAUAACCGGCGAUACCCGAAUGGGGAAACCCAGUGUGAUUCGUCACACUAUCAUUAACUGAAUCCAUAGGUUAAUGAGGCGAACCGGGGGAACUGAAACAUCUAAGUACCCCGAGGAAAAGAAAUCAACCGAGAUUCCCCCAGUAGCGGCGAGCGAACGGGGAGGAGCCCAGAGCCUGAAUCAGCAUGUGUGUUAGUGGAAGCGUCUGGAAAGGCGCGCGAUACAGGGUGACAGCCCC